rnacentral:rRNA from 1 species
AUUGAACGCUGGCGGCAUGCCUUACACAUGCAAGUCGAACGGCAGCGGACCUUCGGGUGCCGGCGAGUGGCGAACGGGUGAGUAAUAUAUCGGAACGUACCUUUCAGUGGGGGAUAACGUAGCGAAAGUUACGCUAAUACCGCAUAUUCUGUGAGCAGGAAAGCAGGGGAUCGCAAGACCUUGCGCUGAUUGAGCGGCCGAUAUCAGAUUAGCUAGUUGGUGAGGUAAAGGCUCACCAAGGCGACGAUCUGUAGCGGGUCUGAGAGGAUGACCAGCCACACUGGGACUGAGACACGGCCCAGACUCCUACGGGAGGCAGCAGUGGGGAAUCUUGGACAAUGGGCGCAAGCCUGAUCCAGCCAUGCCGCGUGAGUGAUGAAGGCCCUAGGGUUGUAAAAACUCUUUCGUGGGGGACGAUAAUGACGGUACCCCAAGAAGAAGCUCCGGCUAACUUCGUGCCAGCAGCCGCGGU